CUACCUGUGUCCUGCUGGGAGAGUGGCCAAAGUUCAAGGAUAUAUGAGGGGAAGAAAUCUGGGCAAAAGAAUACUUAGAAACAAAGAAAAACUUACAUGAAAUAACCUUCCAGACUAAUGGGAAUAGACCUCUUGUGAUUUUAAAUGUAUUCCAGUACUAUGCUAACACUUGCAAAGGAUGAAGGAAACAACUUACAAAUGGAGAGAGCGUCAAAUUUGCAAAUCAAGACAGAAUAAUUCAUCCUAAGAGAUAAUUUAUGCCGACUAAGCUGUCUGAGGCUUUGGAGAUCAGCUUUUGGCAUGUGUUCCUCUACAGCUUGCACAGUGGACCACAACAUACUGUAUAGAUGAUUCAUGGGCUGGAGACUUUCUACACAUGCGGGGUCCAAGGACUCACAGCGGAUUUAAAGGUCAUUUGAAAUGCAGCCUUUUGCUCUUCGACAGCCCUUUCAAUAUUAGCCUCCAGUUCUGUUUUACAAAGUCAUCAUUAUCAACUGCGUUUGUGGCUAUUGCUAUUUUCCUGGGAUUGCAGAGAAACCUGAGAUACUACUUGCAAUGAGCUAAUUUGGCAAUACCAUGCAAACUUCCUUAAGGCAUUAGUUAAGAAUAUACUUUCCUUUACACAAAGAGAAUUUGAAAGUGGGAACAGACUGCAAAUGCAGCAGAAGGUAUGCUUUUGUACUCCUAUAGUUAAGAGUAGAGGGUAUAAUUAGCUCACAAUGGUAGUUGAAUGUAUCUCUCAGAAUGAGAACAUACAGAAUUAAACAGUAGCUUUAGCCUAAUGAUAAUCGGUGAUAAUGAUGAUAAUAAUAAUAGUACUUAGAACUUUAAUGCAGAGAUUUGCAUCUUGAAAGUGCUAUGCUAAACAUUGACUUAAUUACUGUCACCUCUUCAGGGAAGGUAGGUAUUAUUGCCCUGACUGAAUAGAUAGGGAAAUAGAGAUAUAAGAGAAUGAAAUGACUUGCCAAGGGCUCUGCAAGAGCCUGUAAAGGGAUUCAGACUUUACAGGUCCCUUUACUGUAUACUCCCUUAUACCAGGAUAAUUAUGCAUGUUGUAGGGUGCUUUUGAAACUUGAGCCAAAGCCUUUUGAAAUUAGAACUGUGUGUAACAUGUUUUGAAGGUUGUAUUUUUCAAUCAUACUUUAAUAUGAUUUUCCUUUUUAGGUCAACCUAAAACAUAUAGUUGGAGGCAAAAUUUUCAGUUUUGGUUUUAAAUAUAUAUAUUCAUUAUUCCUUUUAGUAGAAAAUGUGUAAAAGGUCAAAAUUUUGUACAGGGUAAUUCAAGAAACAAAAGCAAUUUUUCUGAAAUUACUUCAUUAUUAAUUGUGGAGGGAUGUAUUUGUGUGGCCUGAAGUUUUUUGCCAAAAUCUGAUUUUACGAAAGCUGUCUCUGACAUGCAAAUUGCAUAUUUUUUUGAGUUUGUAUCUUGUAGACAUAUUUUGCCUGGUUCUUGUUAAAAUCUCUGUGAGUCUUCCUGCCUUAAUUAUUUCUCCUCACAGAAGGACUGGAGAUCAGCCCUGUGAUUUGAUUACUUGCAGAAUAUAUGGUGAGUAAAAUGGUAUGAAGCUAACAUAAACACUUUUCUGACCACAGCUACAAGUUAAGGUGAGGAUGAGAUUCUGUAAG
rnacentral:lncRNA from 13 species